rnacentral:misc_RNA from 1 species
AGAGAGAGAGAGAGAGAGGCUUCUCUAUUUUUAUAUAUUAUUAUUUUUUUUAAAUUUAAUUUAGUAUUGACAUUGUCGCAUCGAUUUAUGUUGUAAUAAUGGUUGGGGAGAUCGGAGAGCAUUGGGUGGCAGACAGGUGUUGGAUGAUGAGUCCACCAUUGUGAUCCUGACCGUUUCUAUUUAAUCCAAAAAGUCGAAUAUACCGUCACAAAAAGUGGUUGUGCUUUGUCGCCGGUGAUGUUGGAUGGACGUGCGCAGAGCAGUCACAUGAUCUCUGGUUUUA